rnacentral:tRNA from 1 species
GGCUGGAUCACCUCCUAACAGGGAGACAAAAACCGACUUUGAUGUUUGAUCCAUCCAGUGAUCAAGCCAGAGUCCUGUCAUCUCUAGGUCGAUCGGUACCUCAAGGAGCGAGCAAGGGAGCCUGAGCAAUCAGGGGAGACUUGCAGAGCUUUUUUCAGUUCCUGAACUUUGUCUAGGUCACCCCGUAGCUCCUGGCCAUUAGCUCAGGUGGUUAGAGCGCACCCCUGAUAAGGGUGAGGUCCCUGGUUCAAGUCCAGGAUGGCCCAUUGACCGCCUGUGAAGCAGGCAGGACUUGAAAGCUGGGGGUUUAGCUCAGUUGGUAGAGCGCCUGCUUUGCAAGCAGGAUGUCAGCGGUUCGAGUCCGCUAACCUCCAUAUCAACGGGACCCCAGAAGCGAAAGCGAGAGAGCUGAACGGGAGUGAUCAAGACGGGAAGGGAAGGCGCUGAGGAUGAAGCCAGCCUUCAGGAUUCAGAGAUCAGGUGUUUGCGAGUUGAACACCGGAGGCUUUGAGUGUUGAAUGCUGGACUCACGCCCGGGAACGGAAGUUUUUGGGUGAGAUGUUCAGCGAAGAACCUUGACAACUGCAUAGGUGAGUCUGGAAAGAAAGCAUCUCAUGGAUGUCCAGUGAGAACUGGAGAUUCUAUUGAGUUUAGAGCCGAGACUUUCCAGUGUCUUCCAACGUCUGAGCAAUCCACUCAGGGGACGGGAGUUUGAUGGUGGAGUUCAGGGCAUCAGCGGCCCAGGUGAAGCACCCGAGAGGGUGAGGAGCGUGGGGUGCUGAGGU